UUCCAGACUCCUACGGGAGGCAGCAGUGGGGAAUAUUGCACAAUGGGGGAAACCCUGAUGCAGCGACGCCGCGUGAGCGAUGAAGUAUUUCGGUAUGUAAAGCUCUAUCAGCAGGGAAGAAGAUGACGGUACCUGACUAAGAAGCCCCGGCUAACUACGUGCCAGCAGCCGCGGUAAUACGUAGGGGGCAAGCGUUAUCCGGAUUUACUGGGUGUAAAGGGAGCGUAGACGGCGAUGCAAGCCAGAUGUGAAAGCCCGGGGCUCAACCCCGGGACUGCAUUUGGAACUGUGUGGCUGGAGUGUCGGAGAGGCAGGCGGAAUUCCUAGUGUAGCGGUGAAAUGCGUAGAUAUUAGGAGGAACACCAGUGGCGAAGGCGGCCUGCUGGACGAUGACUGACGUUGAGGCUCGAAAGCGUGGGGAGCAAACAGGAUUAGAUACCCGAGUAAG
rnacentral:rRNA from 1 species